GAAACUGAUGCUUCGACAUUCUCCACCAGGUCCAAAGAGGCCAACGGUGCUGUCUAAAAUCUCCCAAGAUUCCUUUUCUGAAGUUGCUCUUGCAAUGUCGCUCACAAUCCACACAGCAGAGCAGUUUCCAACAAACUGUAGAAGUAUAACGUUAACUAAGAACGUUCCAACAGUAAAGUCUCCAUUGCCUGGAAGAUCAACCAGCACAACAUGCUCCAGCAGGUCUUUGGAGUUUGGCACCUUGAUGGUUAUACACUUCACAAGCGGCCAAUACUGUCUUUUAAAUGUAUCACUCUGUGUGUCACUCCGUGUGUAACAAGUUAUCCUUUCAGAGAGUUCUUCAGCCUGCAAUUGUAAUAAAGCAUCAUUACAUGCAUUGGUGAAAAACAAAAUAUCUUAAAAUAACACUUGACAAAUAUCAUGGAACCUAACAGAGUAGUAAGUUGCAAUCAGAACUGGUUGCCGACCUAAAAUGUUUUUGUUAACCAAAUAAUUUUUCAUGAAAGCACACAAUCUUCACGGAAGUGAACUAGCAUGACACUGUCACUUACUGUGUCACAUAGAAAUAUUUUCUUGACUGAUAAACGAAACUCUGGAAUUUCACUGAAGUGCCUCCUGUCCAUUAAUUCUUCUAAGGUUGCCCCACGUCCAUCUUUUCCAUACAAAGCUGAUAUCUUUUCAUCAUCGUCAUCAUCAUCCCUUUCCUGGUCUUCAUCAUUUCCAUCCUCAUAAGAUCUGUCUCUGAAGAUGGACCAUAGCUCUUCUUUCCAUUCCUAAUAAAAAUGUCAAACCAUAACAAAUGUGUAGUACAUACUGUAUCUCAGUGUUAUGAAACAACCUAGACAGCCUACUUCUAAUGCUACACUAGCAAUGCAAUGUCUAGGGGUCCAAGGCCAUAUGGAAUUGUUUUAAGUCAUACCAUGGAUCAUUUAGCAGUUUUUUCUUCUUCUUUUAACUAUGUAUAAAAAAAUAUAUAAAAACAUUAUUUGGCACAAAACUACUUCCAUCCAUUUUUUUUAACCAGUACAGGGUUACAUUCAGACAAGUCUUAUAAAGCUUGUGGACGCUGUUGUAUGUGUUCAUGAGAGUCUCAGCUUUCGAUGGAGGGGUGAUAUUAAUUUAUAGCCCAAACCGUUUGGACUCUACAGACAGAAGUUGGCACAUCGGCGGUAUCGACUUCAGAUGAGUCUUGUGAAGCUUGUAGGGGUCGUAGAGCAAACCGGAGAACACCAUCACGUUUUUAGCCCUACCGUUCGGACGCUACAGACAUUUUCAUGAGAAGAACAAUUUUCGGGAUGUCUUCUGAUCUGAUAAACAAUGUUGUAGCUCUGCCUCCUUCCACCGAAGAUGCGGAAGGCCGACAUCGGCGCGGUGGAUUGAGACGCAGCCCAUGCACAAAACCAGAUAUCUUUAGCUUAAACAGACAGAUGUUGAUGGGGUUUUUAUUAUGCUAAUUAGAUUGACUCAUGGGCAUGCCAAUCGACAAGCCUGGCACAGCACCUGGACCCGGUUGCUACGGCCCCAAGGGAUGAGGUGUGGAAGUGUUGUGUCUAUCUGUGACCUACCACUAAUAUACCUAUCUAUUCCAUAACAGCUGGAACACACUCCCAAUUGAGUAUCCAAAACACAUGCUGUAUAAGAAACUGCACACUCUGACCCCAUUUACACCUUGCAUUAUCCCUAUCUGAACAGCUGUGAUAGGAUUACAUUUCAAACGUUGUCCUCUCAUUUACAUGCAAUUACACCUGCUAUUACUCGCAAUUACACUUGUGUUCGGAUCUCACUUUUCCCUCCCAUUUAAGACAUCCGUAAGCUUGGUGUGACUGUAUGGGCAUAGCAAACCAUUGGAUAUUCCCUUAAAUAUUUUGAUGUGCAACCUGGAAUAAAAAAUUAA
rnacentral:lncRNA from 1 species